UACGUAGGGUGCGAGCGUUGUCCGGAAUUACUGGGCGUAAAGAGCUCGUAGGCGGUUUGUCGCGUCUGCUGUGAAAACGCGAGGCUCAACCUCGCGCCUGCAGUGGGUACGGGCAGACUAGAGUGCGGUAGGGGAGAUUGGAAUUCCUGGUGUAGCGGUGGAAUGCGCAGAUAUCAGGAGGAACACCGAUGGCGGAGGCAGAUCUCUGGGCCGUAACUGACGCUGAGGAGCGAAAGCGUGGGGAGCGAACAGG
rnacentral:rRNA from 1 species